CUCGUUGUCACAGCAAGACAGCGACACUAUGUCCCCGCUGCUCUCCAAGGCGCCGACCAGCACCUGAACGCAGCGGCGGGAGAGCCCGAUUACGUUUGCGGCCCCUCUGAGGAUCCAACCUUCCUUGAGGAAGCAGCUGAGCAGACCCAGCUGACGCUCGGACGGACGGUACGCCCCUACAUGACAAGGGCGGGGGAAGAUCUCAAAGUGGGGAAUCUGUUGGCCAAACGAGUAAGACAAAACAAAGAGUCACCGGCGGUGACAACGGCAGGAGCACUUUUGUCACAGUACCGGUUGCGGUACCGAAAGCAAUUUCAAGUGUUUGUGUCGGCAGAUGGAGCAGAAGCAGUGGCGGCGGUCCCAUUAGAUUGAGUCAUUAAGUACCAGGAGCAGUCAAAUGCCAGCAAGAUCAAGUAUCAGAACUGGUACGAGCAGUUGAAACUGGUCUAAGUACCAGUCGAAACAUACCAAAGUACCAGCAGCGGUAGUCGAGUACCGCAAAAUGAUCAAAAUCAAUAUCAGCAAUGGUGGCGAUGGAUCGAUACCGACGCCAGCAAUAGCAAUCACUACAAGUCAAAUAGCAAGUACGAGUUGAACUUGGGUGGAAGUACCGGAGUGUUGAAGAACGCUUUGAGCAGUCUGGUGUCCACCACAUGACCCGACACAUCCGAUCUCCACAGUCGAAGUCCCGGUCGGGCUGCGAACACUUGAAGGUCACUCUGCUUGCAAAGAGCCGGCAGAAAGCAGGCCCCGAACCUUCCACUACUGACACACACACACACACGUACGCACGUUUACUGUCCCCCCCAAAAAAUGACAACACAUAAUCAAUCAUGGCAAAACUGCAAAAAUUCCAGUAGAGCCCCGAGUGACACUUGAGGGUUACUUGAGACUUCAUGACUUGUGUGACUUGUGUGCAACUCCCAGAGGAGGGAGGGAGGGAGCCAGGCAGGCAGGCAGGCAGACACACACACGCACGCACACACACACACACAAACGUACACACACACACACACACAAACACACACGCAAACGCGCGCGCACACAGACACACACACACACCGCAUCCUGUUCACGCAGCGUGCAACACGUGACCCUCACCUCUUCCUGGGUUUGGCACCGAGCUGCUGGAUCUGCUGCGUGUGCAUGCAGUAUAGCAGCGAGCGUUGCUGCGUAGACACCAGGAGAACCUGGUGACUGUAGUCCAGCUGCACGACGCCACCCGGUUCCUCCAACAAGAGCACUGGCGUGCAUGUGCCCUGGAAAGACACACGUACGGCGUGAGUCACGUCGCCAGAUGCCAGGCGGAAUACAAGCAUCACUACUUGGCAUGAAACGAACACUAAAUUUGCCAUACCUUUAGCUUGAUUCACAUAAAUAACAAACUGCAUGUGGAGGACGAGCAACAGUGUUGAUUUGUGAAACAAAAAAAAGAUAAAAUCAUGUGACCGAAGACCCCCACGUGUGGCGCUUGGUGUCAACGUGGCGGCCUUGCGGUGUCACCUGAUCGAGGUCCAGAGCGGAGAAGACCACGCGGCCUUUGUCGUCCCCAGAGAAAAGUUUCAUGCCGUUGGUGCUCCACGCCAAAGACGUCACCGUGCCUUUGUGGAGGCCCACCACAUCGAAGCGCCGCAGCUGGACGCACACGCAAACACGUGCAAACUGAGCACAUCAUUUCACGCAAGUGAAAUCCCAGUGUGCGGCUUCGGGGCACGCAGCUCACCUGCUUGUUGCGUCCCGGCAACGGUGACACCAACUGGAAGACGGCCACUCGGCCUGAGGCCGUUCCCACGGCGACCAGGUCGUCGAAGCAACUCAGCAGCUUCACGGCCGUGAUGGCGUCGCACUUUCCCUGAACACAUGCACUCGUUUAAAAGAGCGGAUGGAUCGGAGCGCACCAGACAGGAAGACGAAAAAGAGCGCCACCUCCAGGCUGUACUUGUUCAUGUGAGCCAGGCGGCGGCAGUAGAGAUACAACAUGCCGAUGCUGCUGCCCACCGCCACAAAGUCGCGGCUGCUGUCUACCGCCGUCAGAUAGACCACCACUGAGCGGAAUCCCCGCUGAACCUGCAGACACAAUUUACAAUGCUGCUAAUGCUUCUGUGACCUGUACAUAGAUUGUACAUUAGUCCUUGUCCAGUCGUCUCCCGCAUACUCACGGUUUGGCGCAGAGUUUUUUUUUUUGUCAAUAUAUCAAUAUUAUUUAGAUUUGUUGUUUCUGAUUUGUUUUCCCUAUUUCUCAUUCCCCCAAUGCAUUUCAUUCCAAUUAUAGACGGAUUUCCCCUCUCCCAGCGACUAGGCAAAGUCCACUCUAUGCCACUUUACUCAUGGCCUCAUCGUGUAAAAUAUGUGCACAGGUGUUAUACUUUGGCUGGGAUGGCGUUCAGCAGGUGCUGGAGUGGGCAGAAUUCCCUCAACACGGAUGGCUGGCUCUCCAUGUUUCCGUUCUGUGGAGGAAGAACAAUUUCAUUUCUGAUCCCAAAGCCAUAUUUACAAGUGUUCAAUAAACAGCUACAUUCUUUAUAAAUA